CAUACACAAAAUGCAAAGAAAGAAGACAUCGUCUAUCAAAUCCCCUUCGUCUAGGUACAAGCAAUCUCCCAUUCGUUUGUCUCUUCUCCCCCAGAUCCCACCCCAAAUCUCGUCGUCUAAUCUUCGGCUGGUCUCCUCUGCGUCCACGGUCUCUUCUGCGCGCGACCCACCUCCGUAAGGGAACUCCUCUGCGUGUGACCCACCUCCGCCACUCAAGGGAACUCCUCUGCGUGCGACCCACCUCCGCCACUCAAGGGAACUCCUCUGCGCGCGACCCACCUUUGUCAAGGAGAUGUACAUGACAAGGGUAGAGAUUGCAAGGGCACAGGUUUAUUAGCAUGAGCCAUGCAUGCAUCCAAUGCAUUCCAUGCAAACCAAGGUGCACAGCCUGCAGCAAAAACAGAGGAGUCCACCCAGUGCAUGCAUCAUUUUUGCAAAAAGUUCUUGACUUUUCAUAUGCUGCUUCUAUAGUGGAUUUCAAGAUUCUAGUCCAGGAUGUGAAAUUUUCAUCUCAGGAAAAUUGCAAUACCAAGGCUCCCCUUGAAGCCCUCUUGACUAACAUGUAGGAAUCAAAUGUCGAAGUUCCUUGCAUCAAGGAUACGGAUGAUGACUCCCCAAUUACAGAGCAAUGCAACUUAAUUUCAUUGGAGAAUGGUGAACUGUCAGCUCCUGCAGACAACAACCAUAUUUAAGUGGAUAUGAACUACUGCGAUGUAGUGGAUGUGCCUUUGAUCAUUGAGGGUGAAAGCCUGCAGGACCAUUGGACAUUUUGCAGCCAUGAAAUCUUUGCAGAGAGUCUCAUAUGAUACAACUUUUUUUUUGUAUAAACUUGGUUUAGGCAAGUAAUAGAUGUAGCUGUUGUUGUAAUAUGUAGAUAUUGUUGUUGUUCCUUGUUAAACAUUUUCUUUCUGGUAGAGUGUUAAAGUUUUGUCCUCAUGUGAAUAACAGUCCCCUUGUUGAAUUUA